GAUGAACGCUGGCGGCGUGCCUAACACAUGCAAGUCGAACGGAGAAUAUACGCUUCAGAAGCUUCGGCAGAUGAUUGUAUAUUCUUAGUGGCGGACGGGUGAGUAACGCGUGGGCAACCUGCCUCAUACUGGGGGAUAACAGCUGGAAACGACUGUUAAUACCGCAUAAGCGCACAGUGUCGCAUGACACAGUGUGAAAAACUCCGGUGGUAUGAGAUGGGCCCGCGUCAGAUUAGCCAGUUGGCGGGGUAACGGCCCACCAAAGCGACGAUCUGUAGCCGGCCUGAGAGGGCGGACGGCCACAUUGGGACUGAGACACGGCCCAAACUCCUACGGGAGGCAGCAGUGGGGGAUAUUGCACAAUGGAGGAAACUCUGAUGCAGCGACGCCGCGUGAGUGAAGAAGUAUUUCGGUAUGUAAAGCUCUAUCAGCAGGGAAGAAAGGCUCGUAAGAGAGAUGACGGUAC
rnacentral:rRNA from 2 species